GCUGGCGGCGUGGAUAAGACAUGCAAGUCGAGCGAGAUUUUUUUCUGUAGCAAUACAGGGAAAAGUCUAGCGGCGAACGGGUGCGUAACACGUGGGCAACCUGCCAAGAAGUGGGGGAUAGCUCGCCGAAAGGCGAAUUAAUACCGCAUGUGAUCAGAGUGGACAUCCAUUCAAAAUCAAAGUCGGGGCAACCUGACGCUUCUUGAGGGGCCCGCGGCCUAUCAUCUAGUUGGUGCGGUAACGGCCCACCAAGGCUUAGACGGGUAGCUGGUCUGAGAGGACGACCAGCCACACUGGGACUGAGACACGGCCCAGACACCUACGGGUGGCAGCAGUCGAGAAUUUUUCUCAAUGGGGGAAACCCUGAAGGAGCGACGCCGCGUGGAGGAUGAAGGUCUUCGGAUUGUAAACUCCUGUCAUUGGGGAACAAUGCGUAAAUAUUAACUGUAUUUACGUUGAUAGUACCCGAGGAGGAAGAGACGGCUAACUCUGUGCCAGCAGCCGCGGUAAUACAGAGGUCUCAAGCGUUGUUCGGAUUCAUUGGGCGUAAAGGGUGCGUAGGCGGCGCGGUAAGUCGGGUGUGAAAUCUCGGGGCUUAACUCCGAAACUGCAUUC
rnacentral:rRNA from 1 species